UACGUAGGGGGCGAGCGUUGUCCGAAGUUACUGGGCGUAAAGAGCGCGUAGGCGGACCCUUAAGUGAGGGGGUGAAAGGUUCGGGCUCAACCCGGAGAGUGCCUUUCAUACUGGGGGUCUUGAGUGCGGGAGAGGGCAAGUGGAAGUGGUCGGUGUAGCGGUGAAAUGCGUAGAUAUCGAUCGGAACACCCGUGGCGAAGGCGGCUGCUGGCUCGCAACUGACGCUGAGGCGCGAAAGCGUGGGGAGCAAACAGG
rnacentral:rRNA from 1 species